CUACGGGGCGCACCAGUGAGGAAUAUUGCACAAUGGGGGGAACCCUGAUGCAGCAACGCCGCGUGGAGGAUGACGCAUUUCGGUGUGUAAACUCCUUUUAUAUGUCAAGAAAAUGACGGUAGCAUAUGAAUAAGCACCGGCUAACUCCGUGCCAGCAGGCCGCGGUAAUAGGGAGGGUGCAAGCGUUACUCGGAAUCACUGGGCGUAAAGGACGCGUAGGCGGGUUGGAAAGUCAGGUGUGAAAUCCUACAGCUUAACUGUAGAACUGCACUUGAAACUUCUAAUCUAGAGUAUGGGAGGGGGAGAUGGAAUUAGUGGUGUAGGGGUAAAAUCCGUAGAUAUCACUAGGAAUACCUAAAGCGAAGGCGAUCUCCUGGAACAUUACUGACGCUAAGGCGUGAAAGCGUGGGGAGCAAACAGGAUUAGAUACCCUCGUAGUC
rnacentral:rRNA from 1 species